GACGAACCGUGCGAACGUUAUUCGGAAUCACUGGGCUUAAAGCGCGUGUAGGCGGAUGGGAACGUCGGACGUUGAAAGCCCCCGGCUCAACCGGGGAAGUGGCGCCGAAACGACCCGUCUGGAGGAACGUAGGGGGAGCUGGAACUUCCGGUGGAGCGGUGAAAUGCGUUGAGAUCGGAAGGAACGCCCGUGGCGAAAGCGAGCUCCUGGACGUUAUCUGACGCUGAGACGCGAAAGCCAGGGGAGCGAACGGG
rnacentral:rRNA from 1 species